GCUACCGAAGAAAGCCUGGCUAUAGUCAAAACCAACACACAGCUACAGUUGAAGUCUGGCACUGCAAAACCCUCCUCCCUUUUGACAAAAAAAAAAACCACUCCCUUUACUUCUCUAUCUGUCCAUUUCUCUGUUUAGAAUAGGGAAGAUGAAGAUGGGUACGAUCUCUGCAACUUUCUUCUUCGCUUUCCUCCUUAUCUCCUCUGCACACUCCUUCUAUCUUCCUGGCGUAGCUCCUCGUGACUUUCACAGGGGGGAUCCCCUUUCUGUCAAAGUGAACAAAUUGUCAUCUACGAAGACACAACUUCCAUAUGACUACUACUUCUUGAAAUAUUGUAAGCCUAAAAAGAUUAUUAACAAUGCAGAAAAUUUGGGAGAGGUUCUUCGAGGUGACCGAAUUGAGAAUUCUCUAUACACUUUUGAAAUGAUGGAAGAGCAGCCAUGCAAAGUGGCCUGUGGAGUCACUCUCGAUGUUGAGUCUGCCAAGAAUUUCAAGGAAAAAA
rnacentral:misc_RNA from 1 species